GGAAGCCUCAGGAAUGAAAGUCUAAUAUAUCAAAUUAUUUGUGACACCAUCUAAAGCAGUAAUUUAGUGGGAAACCUACAGCAUUUAAUAUUUAUGUUAGUAAAAUUGGAAAUAUCUCAAUCCAUUAAUCUAGGCUUCUGCUUUAAGAAAACCGAAAAAGAGAGGAGGAACUAAAACCCAGAGCAUAUAAGGAGAUAUUAGCAGAAAUCAAUGAAAUUGGAAACAAACACUGAAAAAAAAAUCACUUAAGCCAAAAGCUUCUUCCUUAUAGAGGUAUGAGUAGUAUUGAUAAAUUUGUUGCUGUGUAUGUGUGUGUGUUUGUUCAUCAAGGGAAAAAAAAUUCUCAAUGAACAAAUAAUAGGAAUUAAAGAGAGGCUGUCAGUGUGGACCUUGCAGAAUUUUAAAUAGGUGUAAAUAUGAAUAAUUCUGUGGCACAAAUAUGACAUGAAAUGAACCCUUUUUGAAAACUAUCAGAAGCUUGGGACACCUGGGUGGCUCAGCAGUUGAGUGUCUGCCUUUGGCUCAGGACAUCAUCCCAGAGUCCCAGGAUCAAGUCCCGCAUCAGGCUUCCUGCAUGGAGCCGGAUGUCUGCCUGUGUCUCUGCCUCUCUCCCCCUCUGUGUCUCUCAUGAAUAAAUAAAUAAAAUCUUAUUUAAAAAAAAAAAAAAGAAGCUUACCAGAAUUCACUGUAUAGGAAACAAACAUGACUAUUUCUGUCACUGUUAGAAAAUUAAAUUGAGCUACGUACUUUCCAACAAAAAUUCCUAACCAUAAUUGUUUCAUUGGUGGAUCUGAAAUAUCUAAGGAUGACGUAAUAGCAAUUUGCAAUAUCUUUUUCAUGAAGUAUAAGAGAAAGUUAUAUUUCAACUUCAUUUUAUGUGGCCAGCAUUACCCUGAUACCAAAAUCACAGAAAAGUAUCACAAAUAGAGACUGUAGAAUCAUAUUACUCAAGAACAUAGAAAUAAAAAUUCUCUAUUAAGUAUUAGCAAAUUGUAUUCAGGUUAAUACAUGAUAACAUUUGGUCUGGUUCAGAAUCGAAAGACUAAGUCAAUAUUUGGAAGUCAAAUCAUCAUACCCGCAAACUGAAAAGGAAAACAUAUCUCAAUAGAUGCAAAAAGAAAAGCAUUUGACAUUAUUUAAAUCUAUUCCUUAUAAAAAUUGUUAGCAAAUUUGGAAGAAGGCAACUUUAUUAAUGUGAUAAAUGUAAUCUUGUAAGCAUGGAUGAUUAUAUUAAUUAUUAAAGACCUUUCUAGGAAUAGAAAGUGAGCAAGUAUUUCAUAUUUUUUUUUUUUUUUUUUUAGUAUUUCAGAUUUUACUACUACUAUUCCGCUUAGCACUGGAAGUUCUAUGCAGUUCCCUAAGGCAGGAAAAAGCAAUCAAAAGUAUAUAGUGUAUUUCUAAAUACUAGCCAUGUAUAUUUGAAAAUCAAAAUUUAAUUUACAGUAACUGUCCCCCCCAACCCAUGAAAUACAAGUAAGUCUUGAUUUGCAGAAUAUUAUGGGACUGUAAAAGUGACUGCUAGCUGAAACCAUGCAAAUCAAUGUUUAUUAAUUGAAAAAUAAUAAUUGUUCUGUAACCUGAAAAAUUGUGUCAAAAUAUUAAAAAUUCUUAUUGUCAAUUAUAAAUGAAAACGUUUAAAGAAUGUUUACUUUAUUGCAUGCAAUAAAGUAUAAACAUUAGAAUCAUUUAAAAUUGAGUAUUUUAUUUCAUUAAAAAUUGUCAUGUUUCAAUAGUGCUUUCUUGUUAAACUUCUAGAAAGGAGUAUCUUAUACUAUAGUUGGCUAAAUUGGCCCCCCUUUCUAAAUUUAGAUUUCCUUCCAACAUUUCAUCUUUUAUGCUUUCAAUGUUAUGUAUUUCUGAAAUUCUCUUUAAUAUAAUUUUUUUUUUGCUGAUGUCACUCUCUAUUGGAUGUCUUCAUUCUUUUCAGCACAAUUACGAUUCUCAUUUAUAUUGAUAAGUUUCUACAGGUGCUUAUGUAGAAUUCUCAUAUUAUGAUAAUGUGAACAUUCCCAUUGUUAGCCAGUUAUAACUAUGUUUGCAUUAAAUUCAAAUUUCCCAUCUAGUAAUAUUUAUUACUGCACUUUCAUCUCUCAGUCUUUUCUGUUUUUUGAUUGUGUAUUUUGAAAGAUGUCAUUGGGUUCAUCACUGAGGCAAGGAUGCAACAUAGCUACAUGUUUUGUUUUUUGUACAACUCAAUAAUUGUUUUGCUGUGACCAAUCACUUAUAGAUCUUAGAAGUAGUGAGGGUUUCAGUUUUGGAAGAUGUCAGUCUAUCCUAAAAAUAAGUAAAAACUUGAACAGACUGAAAAGUUAACAGUGCUUCUUGGAUCUGUAAUAGAGGAGAAGACACAGGACAAAUUGUUGCUCCCGAGUGUGGAGGGAAAAGUGAAUAUAAGGAGUCAUGACUUAGUAGAGCAGAGAUGAGCAGAAACCACUGCAGGAACCAGUGUCAGGAUAGGAGAACCUAACUGUAAUUGAUGAAUUGCUGGAAGCUUAGUGAGGACAAAUGUGGGAGUUAAAAACUCCAGGGGGUUCAGUCAUAGACCCCCAGAAUAUUGUGAGAAUUACCUCCAGAGCUACAUACUGGAGACAAAUACUUUCACACUUCUGUCAGAGGGAAAGCAAAGGGAACCAUUUUGAAAUAAGCUAGAGUACUCUGUUCUUCAGAAGGACUGACCUCAGAAGAAAUUCUAUAAACAGAGCCUAAGUUACGUGGGGAAGAGAAAUACCCAACUACAGCUCUUUAUUGCCAUGUCGCCUCAUCUACUGGAACAAGAAUAAAACUGAGAAACUUGUGGAGUCAGAUAAGUUCAGAGACAUAGACUCACUAAAAGAUUGAUAUUUAAUUGCAGGACUAUAAAAUGUUUCUCCUUCCCUCACACUUCAUCAUCAUAUCACUAAAA
rnacentral:lncRNA from 1 species